GACGAACGCUGGCGGCGUGCUUAACACAUGCAAGUCGAACGAGGUCCCAACAGUGGCAACACUGGGAAAGGCCUAGUGGCGAACGGGUGAGUAACACGUGAGUAACCUGCCCCAAAGACUGGGAUAACAGUGGGAAACCGCUGCUAAUACCGGAUAUCCCCAUUUUGAUCGCAUGGUCGAGUGAGGAAAGGCCUGAGUCUUAGACUCAGACGCUUCGGGAGGGGCUCGCGGUCUAUCAGCUUGUUGGUGGGGUGAAGGCCCACCAAGGCGACGACGG
rnacentral:rRNA from 1 species